CCUACGGGGGGCAGCAGUGGGGAAUAUUGGACAAUGGGGGGAACCCUGAUCCAGCGACGCCGCGUGAGUGAAGAAGUAUUUCGGUAUGUAAAGCUCUAUCAGCAGGGAAGAAAGAAAUGACGGUACCUGACUAAGGAGCCCCGGCUAAGUACUUGCCAGCAGCCGCGGUAAUACGGAGGGGGCAAGCGUUAUCCGGAUUUACUGGGUGUAAAGGGAGCGUAGACGGCGAUGCAAGUCUGAAGUGAAAGGCGGGGGGCCAACCCCCGGACUGCUUUGGAAACUGUAUGGCUGGAGUGCAGGAGAGGUAAGUGGAAUUCCUAGUGUAGCGGUGAAAUGCGUAGAUAUUAGGAGGAACACCAGUGGCGAAGGCGGCUUACUGGACUGUAACUGACGUUGAGGCUCGAAAGCGUGGGGAGCAAACAGGAUUAGAUACCCCAGUAGUC
rnacentral:rRNA from 1 species